rnacentral:rRNA from 1 species
UAGGGAAUCUUCCACAAUGGACGCAAGUCUGAUGGAGCAACGCCGCGUGAGUGAAGAAGGUUUUCGGACCGUAAAGCUCUGUUGUUGGUGAAGAAGGAUAGAGGUAGUAACUGGCCCUUUAUUUGACGGUAAUCAACCAGAAAGUCACGGCUAACUACGUGCCAGCAGCCGCGGUAAUACGUAGGUGGCAAGCGUUGUCCGGAUUUAUUGGGCGUAAAGCGAGCGCAGGCGGAAGAAUAAGUCUGAUGUGAAAGCCCUCGGCUUAACCGAGGAAUUGCAUCGGAAACUGUUUUCUUGAGUGCAGAAGAGGAGAGUAGAACUCCAUGUGUAGCGGUGGAAUGCGUAGAUAUAUGGAAGAAUACCAGUGGCGAAGGCGGCUCUCUGGUCUGCAACUGACGCUGAGGCUCGAAAGCAUGGGUAGCGAACAGGAUUAGAUACCCUGGUAGUCCAUGCCGUAAACGAUGAGUGCUAAGUGUUGGGAGGUUUCCGCCUCUCAGUGCUGCAGCUAACGCAUUAAGCACUCCGCCUGGGGGAGUACGACCGCAAGGUUGAAAC